ensembl:snRNA U6 U6 spliceosomal RNA
GUGCUCUCUUUGGCAGCAUGAAUGAUACACAGAAGAUUAGCAUGGCCCCUGUGCAAGGAUGACACACAAAUUCAUGAAGCAUUCCAUAUUUUU